rnacentral:rRNA from 1 species
AUACGGAGGGUGCAAGCGUUACUCGGAAUCACUGGGCGUAAAGCGCGCGCAGGCGGUCUUUUAAGUUGGAUGUGAAAGCCUACAGCUCAACUGUAGAACUGCAUCCAAAACUAUUAGACUAGAGUCUGGGAGGGGAAGAUGGAAUUAGUUGUGUAGGGGUAAAAUCCGUAGAGAUAACUAGGAAUACCAAAAGCGAAGGCGAUCUUCUGGAACAGUACUGACGCUGAGGUGCGAAAGCGUGGGUAGCAAACAGGAUUAGAAACCCCGGUAGUCC